UACGUAGGGUGCAAGCGUUGUCCGGAAUUAUUGGGCGUAAAGAGCUCGUAGGCGGUCUGUCGCGUCGGUCGUGAAAACUUGGGGCUUAACCCUGAGCUUGCGGUCGAUACGGGCAUGACUGGAGUUCGGCAGGGGAGACUGGAAUUCCUGGUGUAGCGGUGAAAUGCGCAGAUAUCAGGAGGAACACCGGUGGCGAAGGCGGCAUCCUGGACCGGCAUUGACGCUGAGGCGCGAAAGCUAGGGGAGCAAACGGG
rnacentral:rRNA from 1 species